rnacentral:misc_RNA from 1 species
CUCUCUGAAAUCUUCUCAAGCUAAAAUAAAUAAAUAAAUAAAUAAAUAGAAUACAAAAUUGAAGCAAAGUUUAGAUGAAGAGGAAAUCGCCUUGGUUCUCUCACUAGCACAAAACCGAUAGAUGAGAAAUGAACAACAAAACCCUCCCACCUAGCUCACCUGGAUUGACUGUAUCGCCUACUGAGCCCAUUCGCUCCUUUCUUCUCUCAGCUUCCAAAGAACCACACCUUUCUCAUGAACUACGAGACCUUGCUUCCACUCUCAUCUCUCAAAAUCAUAUACACUACAGAUCUCUCCGUAGCAUAUGGAUCGCAUCCGACCCCUCCACCCGCCCUGAAUUG